UUUGUUUUGAUUUUGUUCGCCUGCUGCGAUCGCGCAAUUUUUUCGUCUUUCAACAACAAAAUAGUUUGCCUGAAGUGAGCCACGUCUUUUUAGUUGCCAGCAAGAUAAUUUCAUGCCGGAUGUCGUCAUCGGAUGCAGAUGCUGGUUAGCAGGAGAACCGGCUUUCACCUUGUCGGAAUUAUUGCCGUAGCUGGUGCUGUCGUUAUUGGAUUUGAAGCACCACGCGCUGUUCGGCUGGAGCCCUAAUUCCAUCUGUUUUAUCGCACGCCACGGGCCAUUCUGACCAGGCCUUGAGCCGCAACCAGCGAGAGUCCUAAGCUUAGCUUCAAGUACCGAAGCUGAAAUGGCAGCCGGAAGAAAAUACCAUGAAACGAGGAUUUCCGCUAGUGAUAACCUGGAUUGGGAAAUUGACGUUGGUGCGAGGGAAAUGUUAUUGUUGCAGUUCUCUUGUGGGUUACGUUCGCUGUAUUUCCCGGCAGUGUGUCCAGGAAUAGCACCGCCAAUUUGUCGCAAAUAGUAAACGCCGCGAGCCAGAGUUUUUGUUCGAUGGUUCUGCGCCUUCACCGUUGGUGACUAAAAUUGUUUGCUGCCAAGACCAACCGAAUGCAGCAGAAUCGACAAACAGCCAAGAAAAGACAUCAAACAAACGGGACCUUCGACUGUGACCUGCAGCCUGCACGAAGCUGUAGCAGUUUAGCAGUUCGAUAGCAAAGCGGACUUCAUCUUGGUGACCACGAGCGAGUGCGUGAUUCCCGAGAUGAUCAACGCGAGCGGUAGGUUCGCGUGAGGAUGUUUUCAAGCAAGCAUAAUUGACCAUACAGGUGAGCUCCCAAAAUGUAGGCAACUUCCUCUGGUCAGCGACAAGAUCACCGUCAAGCUGAUCUUCGCUCAUUUUCACUCGGUCAGUCGAUGACGUAUUAAGUCAAAAUGUUCAGCAUUUUUGUAUUACCCAAUCUCACCCCAGACCUAAUGUCACCCCUGAUGACGGUAUACAAAACCUAUUCACAAUUGACUCUAUAAAUAUAUUAAACAGGAAAGGUUUCGCGCUGUUUUCGCAAAUUUGCAGUUACCAACUAGAUUUCGAGUGGAAACAUUCGCUGAACCAGCGGAUUUUUCGCCGAAACCAGUAGAAUAAUCUCCUGGUUGAUUUUGGUACGAGCUGCUGCCGCCGGAAAAAAACCCGGACGUCAGCGAUAGAAAACGCUGAUCCAGCGUAAAAGAACACUGGUCCAGUGAAGAAAACCGCUGGACCAGCGAAUUGUUUCCCAAAACCAGUACAAUAAUCUCCUGGUUGAUUUUGGUGCCCUGCCGCUUUUUCCAAACCAGCGAGAAAAUUUUCUGAUUCUAGCAAAACUGAUCCCCCAAACAGCGACAUUUUUCACCAAACCAGUGUUUUUUUUCACUGGUUUGGUAGAAUUUCAUCGGUUUCCAAACCAGCGAAAAAAAAUAGCGAUUCUAGGUAAUUUUUGUGCAGGCUGAGAAAUUAGCGACAUUUUUCGCUAGUUUUAGCGAACUUUAUCGCGAUUUGGCGAUGGAUCCCC